rnacentral:sRNA from 1 species
UAAGUACAAAUGGUAGCGUGUUAACGAG